ACGAACGCUGGCGGCGUGCUUAACACAUGCAAGUCGAACGGAAAGGCCCUGCUUUUGUGGGGUGCUCGAGUGGCGAACGGGUGAGUAACACGUGAGUAACCUGCCCUUGACUUUGGGUAAACUUCAGGAAACUGGGGCAAAUACCGGAAAGGAGCUCCUGCUGCAUGGUGGGGGUUGGAAAGUUUGGGCGGUUGGGGAUGGACUCGCGGCUUAUCAGCUUGUUGGUGGGGUAGUGGCUUACCAAGGCUUUGACGGGUAGCCGGCCUGAGAGGGUGACCGGCCACAUUGGGACUGAGAUACGGCCCAGACUCCUACGGGAGGCAGCAGUGGGGAAUAUUGCACAAUGGGCGGAAGCCUGAUGCAGCAACGCCGCGUGCGGGAUGACGGCCUUCGGGUUGUAAACCGCUUUCGCCUGUGACGAAGCGUGAGUGACGGUAAUGGGUAAAGAAGCACCGGCUAACUACGUG
rnacentral:rRNA from 1 species